ensembl:snRNA U6 U6 spliceosomal RNA
GUGCUCACUUCAACAGCACAUAUACUAAAAUUGGAUCAAUAGAGAAGAUUUGUAUGGCCUCUGCUCAAGGAUUACACUCAAAUUUGUGAAGCCUUCCAUAUUAAA